GACGAACGCUGGCGGCGUGCCUAAUACAUGCAAGUCGAACGCUGAAGGAGGAGCUUGCUUCUCUGGAUGAGUUGCGAACGGGUGAGUAACGCGUAGGUAACCUGCCUGGUAGCGGGGGAUAACUAUUGGAAACGAUAGCUAAUACCGCAUAAGAGUAGAUGUUGCAUGACAUUUGCUUAAAAGGUGCAAUUGCAUCACUACCAGAUGGACCUGCGUUGUAUUAGCUAGUUGGUGGGGUAACGGCUCACCAAGGCGACGAUACAUAGCCGACCUGAGAGGGGGAUCGGCCACACUGGGACUGAGACACGGCCCAGACUCCUACGGGAGGCAGCAGUAGGGAAUCUUCGGCAAUGGACGGAAGUCUGACCGAGCAACGCCGCGUGAGUGAAGAAGGUUUUCGGAUCGUAAAGCUCUGUUGUAAGGGAAGAACGAGUGUGAGAGUGGAAAGUUCACACUGUGACGGUAUCUUACCAGAAAGAGACGGCUAACUACGUG
rnacentral:rRNA from 1 species